rnacentral:misc_RNA from 1 species
AACAACAACAACAACAACAACAAAGCCGCAUCCGAUGACGAAGAAGAGAGGAGAUUGGCAUUGGAGGAAGUCAAAUUCCUGCAGAAACAGAGGGAAAGAAAGUCAGGAAUCCCUGCAAUUCCAUCGGUGCAAAUUGGGAAUUUAGUAUCCAAAAAAGUGACUGAAAAGAACGAUGGAGAUGGAGAGAAGGAAGAGCUCGUUCUUCAAGAUACUUUUGCUCAAGAAACAGCAGUCAUGGUUGAAGAUCCCAACAUGUUGAAGUAUGUUGAACAAGAAUUGGCAAAGAAAAGGGGGAAGAACAUUGAUGAAACAAAUCAAGUUGAAAAUGACUUAAAACGUGCUGAAGAUGAAUUAUACAAAAUUCCUGAACAUCUUAAGGUGAAAAGGAGAAACUCAGAAGAAAGCUCUACUCAGUGGACUACUGGCAUUGCAGAGGUUCAACUGCCCAUUGAGUACAAACUGAGAAAUAUUGAGGAAACAGAGGCUGCCAAGAAACUUUUACAGGAGAAACGGCUAAUGGGUCAGGCAAAAUCAGAGUUUAGCAUCCCAUCAAGUUACAGUGCAGAUUAUUUCCAACGUGGCAGGGAUUAUGCUGAGAAACUUCGAAGAGGUUGCUUAUAGUUUCUUUUAUUUUGUUCUUUACUUGUUUGGAUGGAUUAAAUUCUUUGUUUUAUCUCACCCUUUUAUGAAAACCAAAAUGAAACUCGGGUUAGUGUAGAUUGCUUAGAUGGGUAUUAAAUACUUGUAAUUCGAGUUACUUUCUUGAAAGUUUUGUUUGGUCCUUUCUUUAUUGAGCUCUUUCAUGUUCUUCAUGCAUCUUUUUUCUUUCCUUUUCUUGACUACAAUAAAAAACUGCAGAACAUCCUGAACUAUACAAGGACAGAAGUUCACAAGAUGAUGGUGCUGGAGCAAAGCCAGCUGAAAAUAACGCUGAUGCAACCCGUAGAGAAGCUGCAACAGAUGAGUUCAUGCUAGAGCGUUUCCGAAAGCGAGAACGGCAUCGGGUCAUGCGGAGAUGACCUGCGCUCUGUCAAGCAUGAUUUUCAUGGUAGUUUAUCAAGCUUUGUGGUGCGCUAGAGUGUAUUAGUUUUUAAAAACAAGUACUGUAGCCAUAGCGACCAUUCUUGUGAUUCAAUUUAUCUGCAAUUUUUAAUGGAUGUUUUGUGUUUGUCUGCUCAAAUGUUACAGCUCUGAGCAUGCCAGCUCAAUAAUAAAAGAAAGCUGUCCAUGGAUCGUGUACAAUCCCAGCUUAUUUCUGGGAAAUCAUUUUGAAUGCAGGUUGUGACAU